AUCCUGUUGUAGUUCAUAAGCAUGAUGAUUGGGUGUGCAUGCUCUUGUGUGAGAUACGCCUUCCUGAAAUCUUGUUACAUUGGCACAUUAUUCAUAUGAUG